rnacentral:misc_RNA from 1 species
GAUGAAGAACGUAGCGAAAUGCGAUAAGUAGUGUGAAUUGCAGAAUUCAGUGAGUCAUCGAAUCUUUGAACGCACAUUGCGCCUUCUAGUAUUCUGGGAGGCAUGCCUGUUUGAGCGUCAUUAAACCUCUCUCAAGUAUGAUUACUUGGAUGUGAAGGAAGAGUACCUUAAACUUAAGGAGUGUUCUCCUUUGAAAUUGAUUAGCAGAUGGUAAUGUUAUUAAAUCCCUGAUGUUGUAAGAAAUAACAGUGGUUUUGUAGACUAUUAUCUAGCUUUAAAUUAUAAUUUUUAUUAUGGUUGACCUCAAAUCAGGUAAGGAUACCCGCUGAACUUAAGCAUAUCAAUAAGCGGAGGA